GAUGAACGCUGGCGGCGUGCUUAACACAUGCAAGUCGAACGGAAAGGCUCCUGCUUGCAGGGGUACUCGAGUGGCGAACGGGUGAGUAACACGUGGGUGAUCUGCCCUGCACUUCGGGAUAAGCCUGGGAAACUGGGUCUAAUACCGGAUAGGACGAUGGUUUGGAUGCCAUUGUGGAAAGUUUUUCGGUGUGGGAUGAGCUCGCGGCCUAUCAGCUUGUUGGUGGGGUAAUGGCCUACCAAGGCGUCGCCGGGUAGCCGGCCUGAGAGGGUGUACGGCCACAUUGGGACUGAGAUACGGCCCAGACUCCUACGGGAGGCAGCAGUGGGGAAUAUUGCACAAUGGGCGCAAGCCUGAUGCAGCGACGCCGCGUGGGGGAUGACGGCCUUCGGGUUGUAAACUCCUUUCGCUAGGGACGAAGCGCAAGUGACGGUACCUGGAGAAGAAGCACCGGCUAACUACGUG
rnacentral:rRNA from 1 species